UAGGGAAUCUUAGACAAUGGGGGAAACCCUGAUCUAGCCAUGCCGCGUGGACGAUGAAGGCCUUAGGGUUGUAAAGUCCUUUCGCUGGGGAAGAUAAUGACGGUACCCAGUAAAGAAGCCCCGGCUAACUCCGUGCCAGCAGCCGCGGUAAUACGGAGGGGGCUAGCGUUGUUCGGAAUUACUGGGCGUAAAGCGCGCGUAGGCGGGCUGGAAAGUUGGGGGUGAAAUCCCGGGGCUCAACCCCGGAACUGCCUCCAAAACUAUCAGCCUAGAGUUCGAGAGAGGUGAGUGGAAUUCCGAGUGUAGAGGUGAAAUUCGUAGAUAUUCGGAGGAACACCAGUGGCGAAGGCGGCUCACUGGCUCGAUACUGACGCUGAGGUGCGAAAGCGUGGGGAGCAAACA
rnacentral:rRNA from 1 species